rnacentral:rRNA from 1 species
GACAGAGGGUGCAAACGUUGUUCGGAAUUACUGGGCGUAAAGGGCUCGUAGGCGGCCAACUAAGUCAUACGUGAAAUCCCUCGGCUUAACCGGGGAACUGCGUCUGAUACUGGAUGGCUUGAGUUUGGGAGAGGGAUGCGGAAUUCCAGGUGUAGCGGUGAAAUGCGUAGAUAUCGGGAAGAACACCUAUGGCGAAGGCAGCUCUCUGGGACGGUACUGACGCUGAGACGCGAAAGCGUGGGGAGCGAACAGG